rnacentral:misc_RNA from 1 species
UGUGACGAUCGCGAUUGUUUGAUCGCGCGAUCACGACCGCGGUCACUUUUCCGCGAUCGCGACAGCGAUCGCGAUGAUUUUACAAAAACGCGACCGGGAUCGGGAUCGCAUGAUAAAAAUCUUGCGAUCAAAUUUGCGAUCAAUUAGCGCCAUCUUAUGUUGAUUUUUAAAAACUUACAAAUUAUUAGUGCAACUGCAAAUUACUUAACUGUAAUGACUGACAGUUUGACAGCUAAUAGUAAGAGUAACUGUUUGUUCAAUCGUGCACGAUAGCUUUAAUUUUACUUCAAUCUACUGCAAUGUCGAAUGGAAAUGGAAUUAAAAGGCAUUUCAGAGGUGUGCCUAAAACACCUGCUACCGUGCAAUCUGAUGAAGAAUCAAGUUCAAAUGAUUCGUCCACAGUUAUGGAAAAUGAUUCAUCAACCACU